AAAAAGGGCUUCUGCUGUGUUUAGCACAGGAGGGGUGGGGCUAACCACUCCUUCUGCAGAAUCGCCAUCAAGAGAUUUCGGAAGCACAAUUUUUAAACUAGGGGUAGCUAGUGAUCAUUCGUCCUGGCGCCCCG